rnacentral:rRNA from 1 species
GUACGGGAGGCAGCAGUGGGGAAUUUUGCGCAAUGGGCGAAAGCCUGACGCAGCAACGCCGCGUGGAGGAUGAAGGUUUUCGGAUCGUAAACUCCUGUCCCCAGGGACGAAAAAAAUGACGGUACCUGGGGAGGAAGCCCCGGCUAACUCCGUGCCAGCAGCCGCGGUAAUACGGGGGGGGCAAGCGUUGUUCGGAAUUACUGGGCGUAAAGGGCGCGUAGGCGGCCUGGGAAGUUCUGGGUGAAAGCCCCCGGCUCAACCGGGGAAGUGCCUGGAAAACCACUGGGCUGGAGUGCUGGAGAGGGAAGCGGAAUUCCUGGUGUAGCGGUGAAAUGCGUAGAGAUCAGGAGGAACAUCGGCGGCGAAGGCGGCUUCCUGGACAGACACUGACGCUGAGGCGCGAAAGCCAGGGGAGCAAACAGGAUUAGAUACCCCGGU